CCCUCCCAUUAUUUCCCUAAAAUUUCAAAACCUGGCCGCACACUUAAAUUUUCGGUAAAAAAAAAAAGAAAACUAAAUUAAAACACAAAGGCAAACCACGCAAACACGCAAAUCACCAAUUUUCUAGGAGAGAGACUGACAGAAAAUAGGAUCGAUUUUUAGGGUUUCAUCAAAAAUUUGGGGCAAAUUCUAGCGAUUUUGUCUGGAAUUCGCAAUUAGGCUCCAGAUUAAUCGAAUUUCUUGGCUGCGACAUUCUCUCACGUUGCUUGCUUGCUAUUCAUCGAGCAGGAGGAUUGAAUUGGGGUUUCGCAUAAUAAUUCGAACAAGUUAAGAGGAGCUAUACUAAGUCAUCGGGUUGUCCAAAAAGCCUAAGUUAUGAUGAAAACUAGAGACCAUUUUCUGUCCCCUUUUUUCAGAUACCUGCAUUGUUGUUCUGCAGAUACUCAACCAAAUUGUGGUGUUGUGGGAUCUUUUACGGUGAUGACGUGUCAUGCGUUCCUCGGAGGUAUCAAGUAUGAGCUGGCACGAACCUCUGGCAACCUGCAAAACAAGAAUAUUCCCGUAGGAAUAUUCCCUCCGAUGCUUAAGUCUACAAAGAAUCAAGGAAAAGAGUUCCAGGGAGAACAUACCUUACCAACCCUGAGAAAAUCGAAGAGAAUAUUGAAAAAAUAGAUGCUUUAGAGUCCACCCAAGACGGAGAAGGAGGGAGCAAUUCUGAAGACCUUAUCUCUGAAGUGAUACAAGGUCCCAAAAGAAAAAGAAAAAGCCGCGUACCACUUUACGGAAAAGGUGUGACAAAGAGUGACUUGAAGAAAAUGGGAAAAAAAAUCAGGAUUCUUGAUUCCGUAAGAGUUCUUGCAGAGUAUGAAAACAGAGUUGGUGCAUCAACUUGCACCCCACGUUGUGUCUAUGAUUGUAUCUCAACUUCAAGAAGCUAAUCCCUAGAUAAAUAUAGUUAUUCCUGAUUUUGUGACUCCAUCGACUCCAAAGGAUGCUCCCAGUGCGCCGCGUGUCAGUGAGCAAAAUGGGCAGUCUGGUGGGACAAGUAGGACAAUUAAACCAGGAGCAUGGUGAGCUAAAUGGAGAACAAAUGUAGAUCUAACAAUGAGACGGUCGAGGCUCUUGUUUGGUUUAGGCCAUUUUGGGAUUUCUAGUAACGUUGAAUUUGUUUCUAUGGAUUUUAAUUUAUGUACUUUUGUCAUUAAAAACACUAAAUUAAUUAGUGAACAACUAUUUUGUAAUGCAUGUGUCCUAUAUGUGCACUAAUAUAUAUUGUAAUGUUACUCUUUAAGUCAAUGAAAAUCUUUUGUUAUUGGCCUCCA